UCUUCAAGACUUGUUCUUCAUUCAAAGCUUUGAAGGUGAUCCAUGGAGGUUGCAAGUUGAAGGGCAUUCAAAGGAGCUUUGUUCUAGUCUUGUUCAUCAUCUUUCUCACCAUCAUCUUCACUAGAAUUUCUACCCUAGCUUUGUGCUAGUACUCAAGCUGCAUUUUUAUGGCAGAAAAAGUGUUGUCGUGUAGCGGACAGGGUUUGAGAUUCGAUUCAAGACGCACUACUGAGCUGUUGCUUAGGAUGUUCGUGACACACUAGGGCGGACCUAUGCCUUAGAGACUAAAAUAAAGAUGGAACCAGUUUAAUUAUGU
rnacentral:lncRNA from 1 species